ACAACAUUGACCCUCCGCCAACUUUAUAUUCCGUAUUGAAUUCAUAAUAGUGGCCUUUUGCACUUGCAGGCGCCAGCGUAAAUUGGAAAGCCAUAGGAGCCAGGCCACUGGAUGGUGCUGUGGAUUGAUUGAAGCCAAAGACUUACCUGCCAUUCCAAGACUCAAGAUUGAUUGUACCUCAUGUUACUCGGUCCCACACGCAUGCAUGAAAUCCUGGAAUCUGACCGGAGCGUACACUGCAACACGGCCCAGAUUAACCCUGUUGGUUCCAUGGGGAACUUGCCAUCCAGUCGUGUCAAAUCACCGGCACUGUUUCGUCAGGGAAAGAUGCGUCACGGUUUGAUCUUCUGAACAAUCUCGGUCGUGAAACGACGACAGCUUGUUCGUGUCCUUGCAGAAAAGAAAGCCUUCCGAUCUCUCAGGUCGAGGAGGCGCAAGUACCAAUCCAACACAAGUAAUUGGCGUCGAGUUGUUGUGCCCUGCAAGGGAGAAAACCAGUAAAGAGCUUGUGAU